GACAGAGGGUGCAAACGUUGUUCGGAAUUACUGGGCGUAAAGCGCGUGUAGGCGGCCCUGCAAGUCGGGUGUUGAAAUCCCAUGGCUCAACCAUGGAAGUGCACUCGAAACUGCAGGGCUAGAGUCCUGGAGAGGAAGGUGGAAGUGCUUGGUGUAGAGGUGAAAUUCGUGAGAUAUCAAGCGGAACACGGUGGCGAAGGGCGGCCUUCUGGACAGUGACUGACGCUGAGACGCGGAAAGCGUGGGGAGCAAACAGG
rnacentral:rRNA from 1 species